CCGUACACUGCAAGAGAUGUUGUAGCAUUGAGAGGCAAUCUUAAACAAAGCUAUGCCUCAAAUGAAUUGGCAAAGAAACUGUGGAGAACUCUGAAAACCCAUCAAGCAAAUGGCACCGCCUCAAGAACCUUUGGUGCCCUUGACCCUGUCCAAGUAACCAUGAUGGCUAAACACUUGGACAGCAUUUAUGUUUCUGGUUGGCAAUGUUCAUCAACUCACACUACCACCAAUGAGCCAGGUCCUGAUCUUGCUGAUUAUCCUUAUGACACUGUCCCCAACAAAGUUGAACAUCUAUUCUUUGCUCAGCAAUAUCAUGACAGGAAGCAAAGAGAGGCUAGAAUGAGCAUGAGCCGCGAGGAGAGGGCUAGAACCCCUUAUGUUGAUUAUCUUAAGCCAAUUAUUGCUGACGGGGAUACUGGAUUUGGCGGAACUACCGCUACCGUUAAGCUUUGUAAAUUGUUCGUUGAGCGUGGAGCGGCUGGUGUUCAUAUUGAGGAUCAGUCUUCUGUUACCAAGAAAUGUGGUCAUAUGGCAGGGAAAGUGCUUGUUGCUAUUAGUGAACAUAUUAAUAGACUUGUUGCAGCAAGGUUGCAGUUUGAUGUUAUGGGUGUGGAGACACUUUUGGUUGCAAGAACUGAUGCCGAGGCAGCUAAUUUAAUUCAAAGUAAUGUGGAUACUAGAGAUCAUCAGUUCAUUUUGGGUGUUACUAAUCCAAAUCUUAGAGGGAAAAGCUUGGCUACCCUUUUGGCAACUGGAAUGGCUAAUGGUAAAACAGGAGCUGAACUUCAAGCUAUUGAGGACAAUUGGCUAGCAAUGGCACAGCUUAAGACAUUUCCCGAAUGUGUAAUGGAUGCAAUUAAGAAUAUGAAUGCCGGAGAAGAUGAGAAGAGAAGGAGAAUGAAUGAAUGGAUGAAUCAUACUAGCUAUGACAAGUGCCUUUCUUAUGAGCAAGGAAGGGAGAUUGCUGAUAGAAUGGGGCUCAAGAAUCUCUUCUGGGAUUGGGAUUUGCCAAGAACAAGGGAAGGGUUUUAUAGAUUUAAAGGUUCUGUUAUGGCUGCUGUUGUUCGCGGCAGGGCUUUUGCUCCUCAUGCUGAUAUUAUCUGGAUGGAGACUGCAAAGCCAGACUUCGCUGAAUGCACCGCAUUUGCAGAAGGGGUGAAAUCCAUGCACCCAGAAAUCAUGUUAGCUUAUAAUCUUUCACCAUCUUUCAACUGGGAUGCAUCAGGAAUGACCGAUGAACAAAUGAGAGAUUUCAUUCCCAGGAUAGCCAGGUUGGGAUUCUGUUGGCAGUUUAUAACAC
rnacentral:lncRNA from 1 species